UACGUAGGGCGCAAGCGUUGUCCGGAAUUAUUGGGCGUAAAGAGCUCGUAGGCGGCUUGUCACGUCGGGUGUGAAAGCCCGGGGCUUAACCCCGGGUCUGCAUUCGAUACUGGCAGGCUAGAGUGUGGUAGGGGAGAUCGGAAUUCCUGGUGUAGCGGUGAAAUGCGCAGAUAUCAGGAGGAACACCGGUGGCGAAGGCGGAUCUCUGGGCCAUUACUGACGCUGAGGAGCGAAAGCGUGGGGAGCGAACAGG
rnacentral:rRNA from 1 species